AGAGUUUGAUCCUGGCUCAGGACGAACGCUGGCGGCGUGCCUAACACAUGCAAGUCGAGCGAGGAAUGACUGGUAGCUUGCUACCGGUUAUUUCUAGCGGCGGACGGGUGAGUAACGCGUGAGCAACCUGCCUUUAUCAGGGGGAUAACGCAUCGAAAGAUGUGCUAAUACCGCGUAAGACCACAGCCUCACAUGGGGCAGGGGUCAAAGGAGCAAUCCGGAUAAAGAUGGGCUCGCGUCCGAUUAGCUAGUUGGUGAGAUAACAGCCCACCAAGGCGACGAUCGGUAGCCGACCUGAGAGGGUGAUCGGCCACGAUUGGAACUGAGAGACGGUCCAGACUCCGUACGGGAGGCA
rnacentral:rRNA from 1 species